UGCAAGUCGAACGAGGUUUUCGGAGCUAGUGGCGGACGGGUGAGUAACGACGUGAGAACCUACCUUCAGAAUGGGGACAACAGUUGGAAACGACUGCUAAUACCCAAUGUGCCGAGAGGUGAAAGAUUUAUCGUCUGAAGAUGGGCUCGCGUCUGAUUAGCUAGAUGGUGGGGUAAGAGCCUACCAUGGCGACGAUCAGUAGCUGGUCUGAGAGGAUGAGCAGCCACACUGGGACUGAGACACGGCCCAAACUCCUACGGGAGGCAGCGUGGGGAAUUUUCCGCAAUGGGCGAAAACCUGACGGAGCAAUACCGCGUGAGGGAGGAAGGUCCUUGGAUUGUAAACCUCUUUUAUCAGGGAAGAAGAACUGACGGUACCUAAUGAAUAAGCAUCGGCUAACUCCGUGCCAGCAGCCGCGGUAAUACGGAGGAUGCGAGCGUUAUCCGGAAUUAUUGGGCGUAAAGCGUCCGUAGGUGGUUAUGCAAGUCUGCUGUUAAAGCGCGGAGCUUAACCCUGUACAGGCGGUGGAAACUGGGAGACUAGAGUACAGUAGGGGUAGCAGGAAUUCCCAGUGUAGCGGUGAAAUGCGUAGAUAUUGGG
rnacentral:rRNA from 1 species